rnacentral:rRNA from 1 species
UACGGGAGGUAGCAGUGGGGAAUAUUGCACAAUGGGCGAAAGCCUGAUGCAGCUAUGCCGCGUGUAUGAAGAAGGCCUUAGGGUUGUAAAGUACUUUCAGUCGUGAGGAAGGUGUUAAGGUUAAUAACCUUAGCAAUUGACGUUAGCGACAGAAGAAGCACCGGCUAACUCCGUGCCAGCAGCCGCGGUAAUACGGAGGGUGCGAGCGUUAAUCGGAAUUACUGGGCGUAAAGGGCACGCAGGCGGUUAAUAAGUUGGAUGUGAAUCCCGGGCUUAACCUGGGAAUGGCAUUCAAGACUGGUUAGCUAGAGUCUUGUAGAGGGGGUAGAAUUCCAUGUGUAGCGGUGAAAUGCGUAGAGAUGUGGAGGAAUACCGGUGGCGAAGGGCGGCCCCUGGGACAAAGACUGACGCUCAUGUGCGAAAGCGUGGGGAGCGAAACAGGGAUUAGAUACC